UUGGGGGGACAGGGCUCGGAGCCCCUCCCUGAGCCCAGGGUAACCCUUAAAGUGGAGGGGGA
rfam:Heterocephalus glaber contig13218, whole genome shotgun sequence.